rnacentral:rRNA from 1 species
GUACCGUGAGGGAAAGGCGAAAAGAACCCCGGCGAGGGGAGUGAAAAAGAACCUGAAACCGUGUACGUACAAGCAGUGGGAGCACAGGUUUACCUGUGUGACUGCGUACCUUUUGUAUAAUGGGUCAGCGACUUAUAUUCUGUAGCAAGGUUAACCGUAUAGGGGAGCCGGAGGGAAACCGAGUCUUAAUUGGGCGUUAAGUUGCAGGGUAUAGACCCGAAACCCGGUGAUCUAGCCAUGGGCAGGUUGAAGGUUGGGUAACACUAACUGGAGGACCGAACCGACUAAUGUUGAAAAAUUAGCGGAUGACCUGUGGCUGGGGGUGAAAGGCCAAUCAAACCGGGAGAUAGCUGGUUCUCCCCGAAAGCUAUUUAGGUAGCGCCUCGUGAAUUCAUCUCCGGGGGUAGAGCACUGUUUCGGCUAGGGGGCCAUCCCGGCUUACCAACCCGAUGCAAACUGCGAAUACCGGAGAAUGUUAUCACGGGAGACACACGGCGGGUGCUAACGUCCGUCGUGAAGAGGGAAACAACCCAGACCGCCAGCUAAGGUCCCAAAGUCAUGGUUAAGUGGGAAACGAUGUGGGAAGGCCCAGACAGCCAGGAUGUUGGCUUAGAAGCAGCCAUCAUUUAAAGAAAGCGUAAUAGCUCACUGGUCGAGUCGGCCUGCGCGGAAGAUGUAACGGGGCUAAACCAUGCACCGAAGCUGCGGCAGCGACACUGUGUGUUGUUGGGUAGGGGAGCGUUCUGUAAGCCUGUGAAGGUGUGUCGUGAGGCAUGCUGGAGGUAUCAGAAGUGCGAAUGCUGACAUAAGUAACGAUAAAGCGGGUGAAAAGCCCGCUCGCCGGAAGACCAAGGGUUCCUGUCCAACGUUAAUCGGGGCAGGGUGAGUCGACCCCUAAGGCGAGGCCGAAAGGCGUAGUCGAUGGGAAACGGGUUAAUAUUCCCGUACUUGGUGUUACUGCGAAGGGGGGACGGAGAAGGCUAUGUUGGCCGGGCGACGGUUGUCCCGGUUUAAGCGUGUAGGUGUGUGUUCCAGGUAAAUCCGGUUCACUUUAACACUGAGGCGUGACGACGAGGCACUACGGUGCUGAAGCAACAAAUGCCCUGCUUCCAGGAAAAGCCUCUAAGCAUCAGGUAACAUCAAAUCGUACCCCAAACCGACACAGGUGGUCAGGUAGAGAAUACCAAGGCGCUUGAGAGAACUCGGGUGAAGGAACUAGGCAAAAUGGUGCCGUAACUUCGGGAGAAGGCACGCUGACACGUAGGUGAAGUGAUUUACUCAUGGAGCUGAAGUCAGUCGAAGAUACCAGCUGGCUGCAACUGUUUAUUAAAAACACAGCACUGUGCAAACACGAAAGUGGACGUAUACGGUGUGACGCCUGCCCGGUGCCGGAAGGUUAAUUGAUGGGGUCAGCGCAAGCGAAGCUCCUGAUCGAAGCCCCGGUAAACGGCGGCCGUAACUAUAACGGUCCUAAGGUAGCGAAAUUCCUUGUCGGGUAAGUUCCGACCUGCACGAAUGGCGUAAUGAUGGCCAGGCUGUCUCCACCCGAGACUCAGUGAAAUUGAACUCGCUGUGAAGAUGCAGUGUACCCGCGGCAAGACGGAAAGACCCCGUGAACCUUUACUAUAGCUUGACACUGAACAUUGAGCCUUGAUGUGUAGGAUAGGUGGGAGGCUUUGAAGUGUGGACGCCAGUCUGC